AAAAUUCGUGUGGACCCCCAAGCAAAAAUCCAAAAAUCCUUGUUUGAAAAAAAAUUCAAAAAAUACAAGUCUUUGAUCAAGAUUUUUAAUCCAAUAGCUCCCAUUUUCCACCUUUAUUCCCACGGCUCGGAUUUGUACAAAAAUAAAAGCGAUAAAAGAAGAAAUCCGCGUGAAUCAGAUUGAAAUGAUGAAAUUCGUUGAGAUUAGCUACGUGGAAGAAGGAGAAGAAAGGGGGGACCAUGGGGAGACCAAUGGGUGAACUCGCCGGGUUUGGGGCGAGUUCCGGCGAGUUUGGAGGCGGGCAAAGAUGAGAAUGGGGCGGGGGCGUCGAUUUGGUUAGAAGAGAUAGGGUGAGGGUUAAAUUUACACUACUCCAAUUUUUAAAAGUUCAU
rnacentral:lncRNA from 1 species